CGGGGUGAGUAACACGUGGAUAACCUACCUAUAAGACUGGGAUAACUUCGGGAAACCGGAGCUAAUACCGGAUAAUAUUUUGAACCGCAUGGUUCAAAAGUGAAAGACGGUCUUGCUGUCACUUAUAGAUGGAUCCGCGCUGCAUUAGCUAGUUGGUAAGGUAACGGCUUACCAAGGCAACGAUGCAUAGCCGACCUGAGAGGGUGGAUCGGCCACACUGGAACUGAGACACGGUCCAGACUCCCUACGGGAGGCAGCAGAU
rnacentral:rRNA from 1 species